GUUGCAGUCAUCACAGGGGAAAAUGUGAGGCUUGUAAAAAGCUUGUUUGAUAGCUGUUGUUGCAAAUGACUCAAAAACCACUUCAGGUUUAUGGAGUAGUUCACAGGUAAAUGUCAGUCCUAUCACAGUGAGAUUGGAGAAGUCGAUUGCAGCAACUUCAGCACCUGCUGAGGGCUUCAGUGAGAUCUCCACAGGCAGCAGUCAGGCUCCUGGUGUUCAGGUACACAGCACUUCCCUGGCUGUUUCCAGGUACACUGACUCUUGAUUUCCAGGCUGUAACAUAGAGAGGGCCCCUGGGAAUGAGAAGGGCACCUGCCUCAGCCUGUGCACACAAUGGGCAGUGCAAGCUCUAAGAAGGGCGGCAUCACUGGAGCUCAUUGUAGUGAGUUAAGAUACUGGAUACACACACCCCGUGGAACAGUGGAGGAGAAGAGGAAGAGGAAGAACAAGAACAAGGAUGAGCAUUCCUCUAUCCUGAGAGAUGACUUCAGUUUGCCCCCCUGAGAAGCCCCAGAGGAAGGCUGAGCAGUGGCAGCACUGUGCUCCAGAGAGCAAUGGCAGAAGGUGGCUGCAGUCAGAGCAGCUGGCAGCACUGGUGUCUGUGGGACAGCAUGGUUUCACUUUACUCAGUAAAUCACUUUGAAAUUGCAGCUUAAGAUGCCCAACUCAUUUGUCAGAGCUGGGAGAGUUUGACACACAAGACUGGGCUGGGUGACCGGAGAUCUUGGCUGUAAUUCCUCGUCCUUCAUCUUAAUGCCUUCGUCGGGCCAUUUUUGAGGAGAUUAUGUUCCUGGCUGAUUUUGACAACUGCUUUGACACCUGCAGAUGAAUAUGAUUAUUGAUUUCAGUGCCAAGCCUGUUUUUCUAAAGAGUUAGCAAAACAACCAGGAGACAUGACUUAGUAGAGACAAAAAAUUGGUGAAAUUUUGCUUUUGAAGGAACCUAUUCUAUUCCAGAAUCUCUUCAUAUAUUGUGUUCACUUGGUUAUUUUAAAUUUCCUUUCCUAUAUUUCUUUUUUUUUUUCCUUGGAUAAAAUUAACCUUAAUUAUGAUUAUUUUAUCUAUAAAACUGUCUGUACCUGCCAAAUAUUAAAAUGUUAGCAUGGAAAUUUUACCAAGGAUGAAAUCCUGACUUGGUAAUAGCUGAUAAAAAUCAGUGGAAGAAUAAUGGAUGAUUAAGUGGAAGAAAACCACAGAUGUAAUAUUUCAUCAUUGCUUAGAAGAGAAAUUUGACACAUUAGUGCCAGUUUGGAAGUUUUUCAGUAAAAUAUAUGAAUGCAGAAUAAGAAGAAUACAAUUAUAUUACCCUUGCAAUACGUGGUUCAGUUUUUAAAAGGAUGAAAAUUUGCAGCACAGUUAUGAUGAGAAAUGUACUUCUUCUGGAGUGACCAAUAGCCCAGGGACUGGAUCACUUCUGUGGGAUGGCCCUGCACUGCCUGAUUGAGACAGACACUUGGAGUGCAGGUUCACAGCUAGUACUUAGCCUGGCACAUGUGAUAUUAAAU
rnacentral:lncRNA from 1 species